AUACUCUGGUUUCUCUUCAGAUCGUAUAAAUCUUUCGCCUUUUACUAAAGAUUUCCGUGGAGAGGAACAAUUCUGAGUUUAUACCUAAUUUUUUGAGGCCUUGCAUUUUUUGCAGGGCU
ensembl:snRNA U5 U5 spliceosomal RNA